AACUGUAUUGUCCAGUAACUUAAAAAUAGUACACUGGUCUUGCAAAGUAGUUACUUUUUUUCUGUAGCCAUUCAGUCAUUUGAUUGAAAUUUUGUUAUUCGUUUGUUUUUAACUUGCAAGUGUACUCCAGGAGAAGCAAUAUGUCUGAUUAUAAUCCUGACUAUUCUCAGAUCUUUAGAGGCCAAAGCCUGUAGAAUUCUAAUGAUCAUGGGACAGAUCUUAAUUAUUUGAUGGCUUCAGUUUCAGAAGCAGUGUUUCAUUUAGGCGGAAGUUAUCUUCACAUAAAGGGAUUGCGGUGAAUUCUGUAGGACUGAAAGUGCUUUGGAGCACAUGAGCUGUUUGAAUUCAUCCUACCUUCACACAGAAGAAUUUAGGAAUUGGGUUGGUGAGCUCCAUAAUAUCGGAGUGCCCCACAAUUAUUAAGCAGAGAGAAGAUUGUCUGUGAACUCUUUGGACCUACCUACUCAUUGCUCCACAGAAAAUCUCUUCCUGCCUCUUUAGAGGACCAAAAGCAGCAAAUCA